UGCUGGCACAAUGGGCCAGCUGUGCUUGGCUGUUAACCAGAAGGUUGGCGGUUCAAGCCCACACGGGGACAG